AAAGUUUUAAAAGUCGAACAGACUUAAUUUAUAAGCUUUUGCACUUAUAAUUUUCUUUAAUCCAACAUCGAGGUCGCAAAAUUUUCUAUUGAUAAGAACUCUCAAGAAAAAUUACG
rnacentral:rRNA from 1 species